AUGAACGCUGGCGGCGUGCCUCAUACAUGCAAGUCGAGCGAACGGACGAGAAGCUUGCUUCUCUGAUGUUAGCGGCGGACGGGUGAGUAACACGCGGAUAACCUACCUAUAAGACUGGGAUAACUUCGGGAAACCGUAGCUAAUACCGGAUAAUAUUUUGAACCGCAUGGUUCAAAAGUGAAAGACGGUCUUGCUGUCACUUAUAGAUGGAUCCGCGCUGCAUUAGCUAGUUGGUAAGGUAACGGCUUACCAAGGCAACGAUGCAUAGCCGACCUGAGAGGGUGAUCGGCCACACUGGAACUGAGACACGGUCCAGACUCCUACGGGAGGCAGCAGUAGGGAAUCUUCCGCAAUGGGCGAAAGCCUGACGGAGCAACGCCGCGUGAGUGAUGAAGGUCUUCGGAUCGUAAAACUCUGUUAUUAGGGAAGAACAUAUGUGUAAGUAACUGUGCACAUCUUGACGGUACCUAAUCAGAAAGCCACGGCUAACUACGUG
rnacentral:rRNA from 1 species